CAUGCAUGUCUCAGUACAAGCCCAAUUAAGGUGAAACCGCGAAAGGCUCAUUAAAUCAGUUAUGGUUCCUUAGAUCGUCCCCACAUUACUUGGAUAACUGUGGUAAUUCUAGAGCUAAUACAUGCCAACAGAGCUCCGAAAGGAGUGCUUUUAUUAACUAUAAAACUAAUCGGUAUCGAGAUUAUUCUCUUUAUCGAAACACUUGGUGAAACAAAAUAACAAGCUGAUCGCACGGUCAAGCACCGGCGACGCAUCUUUCAAAUGUCUGCCUUAUCAACUUACGAUGGUAGGUUCUUUGCCUACCAUGGUUUUAACGGGUAACGGGGAAUCAGGGUUCGAUUCCGGAGAGGGAGCCUGAGAAACGGCUACCACAUCCAAGGAAGGCAGCAGGCGCGCAAAUUACCCACUCCCGGCACGGGGAGGUAGUGACGAAAAAUAACGAUACGGGACUCAUCCGAGGCCCCGUAAUCGGAAUGAGUACACUUUAAAUCCUUUAACAAGGAACAAUUGGAGGGCAAGUCUGGUGCCAGCAGCCGCGGUAAUUCCAGCUCCAAUAGCGUAUAUUAAAGUUGUUGCGGUUAAAAAGCUCGUAGUCGAAUGUGUGUCUCUCGUCUCCGGUACAACUUCUGUUGCAACUGGAGUUUCGAUAGAUAUCCUGUCGGUGGAUUUCCUGUUAAAAGGCUUUCCAACUAAAAAUCUCGCUUUGGUGCUCUUCAAUGAGUGUCGUGGUGGGCCGACACGUUUACUUUGAACAAAUUAGAGUGCUUAAAGCAGGCAAAAUAAUGCUUGAAUAUUGUGUGCAUGGAAUAAUAGAAUAGGACCUUGUGUUUAUUUUGUUGGUUUUCGGAUAACGAGGUAAUGAUUAAUAGGAACAGAUGGGGGCAUUCGUAUUGCUACGUUAGAGGUGAAAUUCUUGGAUCGUAGCAAGACGAACAGAAGCGAAAGCAUUUGCCAAAAAUGUUUUCAUUGAUCAAGAACGAAAGUCAGAGGUUCGAAGGCGAUCAGAUACCGCCCUAGUUCUGACCAUAAACGAUGCCAGCUAGCGAUCCGCCGAAGUUCCUCCGAUGACUCGGCGGGCAGCUUCCGGGAAACCAAAGCUUUUGGGUUCCGGGGGAAGUAUGGUUGCAAAGCUGAAACUUAAAGGAAUUGACGGAAGGGCACCACCAGAAGUGGAGCCUGCGGCUUAAUUUGACUCAACACGGGAAACCUCACCAGGCCCGGACACUGGUAGGAUUGACAGAUUGAUAGUUCUUUCUUGAUUCGGUGGUUGGUGGUGCAUGGCCGUUCUUAGUUGGUGAAGUGAUUUGUCUGGUUAAUUCCGAUAACGAACGAGACUCUAGCCUGCUAACUAGGCGUAUUACCGGCAUCUUGAAGGCCCGUUCGUCAUAGCAGUGCAUUGCAAUGUUGUGUUCGUAACGUGGUUUUUACUGCCGGCGUACAAACUAUUCUUCUUAGAGGGACAAGCGGCUUUUAGCCGCACGAGAUUGAGCAAUAACAGGUCUGUGAUGCCCUUAGAUGUUCUGGGCCGCACGCGCGCUACACUGAAAGAAUCAACGUGUUACCCUGCCCGUAAGGUCCGGGUAACCCCUGAACCUCCUUCGUGCUAGGGAUUGGGGCUUGAAAUUUUUCCCCAUGAACGAGGAAUUUCCAGUAAGCGCGAGUCAUCAGCUCGCGUUGAUUACGUCCCUGCCCUUUGUACACACCGCCCGUCGCUACUACCGAUUGAAUGAUUUAGUGAGGUCUCCGGACUAGCACACGUGGCGUUUACGUCGCUGUUGAUGCCAGCAAGCUGACCGAACUUGAUCA
rnacentral:rRNA from 1 species